rnacentral:rRNA from 1 species
UACGGAGGAUGCGAGCGUUAUCCGGAUUUACUGGGUUUAAAGGGUGCGUAGGCGGGCUGUUAAGUCAGCGGUAAAAGCCCGGGGCUCAACCCCGGCGAGCCGUUGAAACUGGCUGUCUUGAGAUGUCGAGAGGUAUGCGGAAUGCGCAGUGUAGCGGUGAAAUGCUUAGAUAUUGCGCAGAACUCCGAUUGCGAAGGCAGCAUACCGGCGGCGAUCUGACGCUGAGGCACGAAAGCGUGGGUAUCGAACAGG